UUUCUAGAUAUUUAGCAUUCACCAUUUUGGUUGAGGUUACAUAUAUAUGAUUAUGAUCCCAAAGUUUUUUUUCUAUUUGCAGAAACCAUCAACAAUUAAGCUGGUGGACAUUACCUUCAGGAAUAUUAGAGGAACAUCAGGGAACAAGGACGCAGUAAAACUAUUGUGCAGCAAGGGACAUCCAUGUGAGAACGUUGAGAUUGGAGACAUUAACAUUGAGUACACAGGACCUGACGGUCCACCCACUUUCGAGUGCACAAACGUCACACCUAAGCUUGUGGGAACCCAGAACCCAAAGGCUUGCGUUGGACCUGUGGUCAAGGCUCCUGGCAAAGAGUAAAAUGUUGAAGCUCAUAUCAACACACUAGGGCUUCCACAUCCAAUUUUGUUUAUUCUUUUUCUAAUCCUUUUUCAAGUCACGUAAGGGAGACUUUUACAAAGCUGUAACAAAAAAAUGUUUCUAUCCGAUGCCAACACAUAUAUAGAUGUGUGAGUGCAUAAUGAUGUAAUUAAUAAAACUAAAUUAUAUAUUCUGCGUAUGAUUGUUUCUUUUUAAAAUAUUAAUAUGCGCGGUAAGUUGUAUACACUUCAAUCUUAAUUUUGUUUUCUUUUCCGAAUCUUAAAAUUAUUUAACAAGAUCUGAUUUCAACCUUAAGAUUAAUUUAACUAAUACAGUAUUAGUUUUUUUUUUUUGAGAACUCAUUUUAAACUAGAACUCAAAUCAUUUCAAUAAUAGUUCACUAACAUGUAGUAUUCUUUCCAAGUUAUACUGAACUAGAACUCAAAGAUACACUUGUUCAUACAUAACCGAUGCAAGCAUUUGGACAACGAAACAUGACAUCGUCAUAAGUAAUCUGAUUGGAAAUGUAAUUUUCAAUCAAACUUUCGCUCUUUGCUUAUGAUCUCUUUGGAAAAAAUUUCACUUGAUAAUAUGAGGUGCAUACUCUUCCUCUCUACUUUGGUUCAAUGCUCCUUAAACAUGUUGGAUACUUUUUUAGGCUUCAAUAUAAAAAAGAAGUUAGGAAAAAUUUAUUGAUAUUGUUAGUAAUAUUACUUCUAUGAUAUUGGUACUUCAAAAGAAGCAUGAGUUAUUAUAGAAACUAGGUUAAGAUCUCUGUUUUGCGCAUGAUGAAUUUUAUGUAUACAAAUGAUAUUUUUCUAUUUUUAUUAUUUAUUUUGUGUUUAUUUAUUUCAUAUUUAUAUAAUUAAAUUAGAGUAAACACAUAAAUCAAAACUAUACCUCCUUUUAUUUCUAAUUUUUUUCAUAAAUAAAUCAAUCGUUUUAUUUAUUUUAUAUGAAAUAUAAUUAAUUUGAAUGAUAAUGACAUAGAUAUCUAGUAAAAUUUAAUAUAACUUAUUAAUUGAGAUUUCCUACUCAUAUAAUCUUAUUAACAUUUGUAUAUAUUGCUGUAAAAAAAAUUAAACCAUUAAUUACAAAACUUUCAAUGUGAGAUUUAUUUCAAUACAAAAUUUUAAAUUGAAAUAUUAAGGUCUCAAUACUUUUAAAAUGUAAAUUUCAAAAUUAACGUAUUUAUGUAUUUUUAUAUGGUAUAUAGUUUAAUUUAAACGAUAUUAAGAUAUAUAUAUAUAUAUAUAUUUAAUAUGAAUAUCUAUUAAAUGAGACUUUAUAUUCAUACAAUUUUAUGAUCAUUUUGUAUCUUGUUAUAACAAAAAAAAGUAGUUAAACCAUUGAUUACAAAAUUUCAAUAUGGGCUUUUAACAUUUUUUAGUAAUUUAUAGUUUUUUAAAAUUCAUAAUAUAACAUAUAAGAAAGAGUCUAUAUUUUAAGUAUAUGGUUAAUGUGAUUGUAUAAUUUCUUUUAAUAAUAUAAAAUUAAAUAAAAUAGAUGGAGGUUACAAAAAUUGUUAUCAAAUCUUUAUUAUUCAUAAUCAUUAGUUUUCGUAUAUAUGUUAAUCAUAUUAGGUAAUUUCGUAACUUUUAUUUAGAGAAAUAAUGAAAAUAUUCUUUUGAACAUACAUUACUAAUCAAUUUGAUAGUUAGUUUAAUAAUAAGAUAUAAUAUAUGUUUCGAUAGACCAUCUAUUUUUUUAAGGAUCCUAAGCAUCAUUGUUGUAUUAAUACGUGGAUACAAAAAAAUGUUGCAAUGCUUUUCAAAUAUAUAAAUGAUUAUGUGGUUGAAAGAAAUUAGAAAAAUGCAAUGCAGUUAAGUAAUGAGGAACGAUUGAUUUUUGUUAUUAAAAGACGGAAGUCACGAACCACAUUAAUUAAAGUCAUCGAUUACUGACUGAUGACAACAUAUUUGACAAACAAUAAUAGAAGUUACAUAUAUUAACGCAUAAAGUUACAAAAUACAUAUACAUAUUUGACAAACAAUAAUAGAAGCGACGAAAUACAAACAAACACCUAAAACAAUUAAUUUUCAAAUACAGUCCAGGUUCUCCGAAAGUCGUUUGCUUUGAAAUGCUCUUUUUUAACUUAGUCAUAAACAUCUUCAUCUUUAUAACAUUAAUUAUUUCUUUUAUGAACUGGUUUGCCUUUUUUUCUUCAUGAUAUUGGGUUCAAUAGUUCCAACUUUUGCCUUUUGAAUUGUGUAAAUCUAUUUCACUAUUUGUUGACCAUUUGCAAUUCUUGCUUUUCUUUCAUCAUAUCAUUUUUUGUUGUAUACAUUUCCCUUGAAUGAUGACUAACUUAUACAAAAUUGGAAUCACUUGCAUCAUUUUCGUGGAUUCUUUUAAACCCACUUCUGCCUGACUACAAGAACAUAUUUAAUCACAGAUGAUGACGAGCCCCAUUCCAACAUGUUGAAAUGUAUAGUCUUGGCACUUGAACAUAGCUCAUGCGUUUUUUUUGUCAAUAUAUCAUUAUUCUCUGAUCAUCCAUUUUGUUACAUAGACUUUGCUAUUGUCAGUGCCAACCAUUAUUCCGAUAGUUUUUUCAUGUGGUGUAGUAAUUUUUCUAAACGAAGCAAUUACUGUUCUCUAACAAUUUUGAAAACCAACCAAUGCUAACGUCCAUAUAUAUUUUCCGCAGCCUGCACAACAGGAUUAUCAGAACGUAAAUCUCCUGAAUUUCUUUAAGUUCUAGUACCUUAUAAAAUUCUACUAACAAUUUGAUAUCUUUUUAGAUGGUGUAAAUGUAAUAACAUAAGUUGGCUAGAAACUAACCUCCCAAAAAUAGAGGUAUCAUGCAAAUGCUAUAAACACGAGUGGAACAAGUCUUAUGCCUAACAAUUGAACGCUAAUUUCCCAAAAUUAAAGUAACCUAGCUAAUACUUCCUUAAAAAUGGGUCAAACAUUCUAAAAAAUGAGAAGUUGGGAGAAAGUAUGGGCCUUCAACAUAUCUCUCCAUUUAACGCACUAUAUAAAGCAGCAGGUGCGUAGUAAAAAUCUCAGAAAACAAAAAUUAAAAGACAAUAAAAAAUAAAAAUAAAUAAAUAAAUAUGGGUUCAUAUUUGGGAAUCUAUACAAUUUUGGUUCUAUGUUUGCUAAAAUAAAAAUGGGUUCAUAUAUGGGAAUAUGUACAAUUUUUGUUCUAUGUUUGCUGGGAUAUUCAGCCAAUGCUGAGGUGUUCACCGCUGGUGGUCCUCCAAAUUCUGAUAUUACCGCGGUUAGUAUCUUCACUUGUUUUUUAUUACUUGAAUUCCAAUCAAUGUGUAAACCAUUUCUUAUAUUAACAUACUCGUGGGAGCUAUUGUUGCAGGCAGUUCUUAAAGCAUUCACAUCGGCAUGCCAAGCUCCGGCACCAAGCCAGGUGCUGAUCCCAAAAGGUGACUUCAAGCUUGGUGAGACCGUGAUGACUGGUCCAUGCAAAUCUCCAAUCGAGUUCACCUUGCAAGGCAACGUGAAAGCUGACGGUGGCUCUACCCAGGGAAAGGAUAGAUGGGUUGUGUUCGAAAAAAUUAAUGGUUUUAAGUUGAACGGAGGUGGAACAUUUGACGGUGAAGGCAAUGCAGCUUGGAAAGCCAACAACUGCCACAAGACUUUUGAGUGCAAGAAACUUCCCAUCGUAGGUGUUUCCGUCUUUAAUAUAUUAACACCAAUGGCUUUUUUUAAAGAUGAUAUAAUUCAGUGAUGCAUGCUAUCUUUCAGAGUGUAAGGUUUGAUUUUGUGGAUAACGCUGAGAUAAAAGACAUAACCUCAUUAGAUGCCAAAAACUUCCACUUCAACGUUAUCAGCGGCAAGAACAUGACCUUUGAUAACAUCAAGAUCAUCGCUCCAGCUGAAAGCCCCAACACUGACGGUAUCCAUUUGGGAAGAUGUGAGGGAGUCAAGAUCCUCAACACUAAGAUCGCCACAGGAGAUGACUGCAUCUCCGUGGGAGAUGGGAUGAAGAAUCUCCUCAUUGAGAAAGUUGUGUGCGGUCCAGGACACGGAAUCAGUGUUGGAAGCCUUGGAAGGUACGGAUGGGAGCAAGAUGUCACUGACAUUAACGUUAAGAACUGUACCCUUGAGGGAACCGACAACGGUCUGAGGAUCAAGACAUGGCCAUCUGCCGCUUGCACCACCACCGCUGCCGGUAUUCAUUUUGAGGAUAUCAUCCUUAACAAAGUUAGCAACCCAAUCCUCAUCGACCAGGAGUACUGCCCUUGGAACCAAUGCAACAAGAACGUAAGUAUCUUUUAUUAGAUUCUAUGUCUUGCCACUAUCACCGUAUUCUAUGAAAUUGGAUGGCUCAGCAAACAUAUUAUUCUGAUGGUUUUCUAGAUAUUUAGCAUUCACCAUUUUGGUUGAGGUUACAUAUAUAUGAUUAUGAUCCCAAAGUUUUUUUUUCUAUUUGCAGAAACCAUCAACAAUUAAGCUGGUGGACAUUACCUUCAGGAAUAUUAGAGGAACAUCAGGGAACAAGGACGCAGUAAAACUAUUGUGCAGCAAGGGACAUCCAUGUGAGAACGUUGAGAUUGGAGACAUUAACAUUGAGUACACAGGACCUGACGGUCCACCCACUUUCGAGUGCACAAACGUCACACCUAAGCUUGUGGGAACCCAGAACCCAAAGGCUUGCGUUGGACCUGUGGUCAAGGCUCCUGGCAAAGAGUAAAAUGUUGAAGCUCAUAUCAACACACUAGGGCUUCCACAUCCAAUUUUGUUUAUUCUUUUUCUAAUCCUUUUUCAAGUCACGUAAGGGAGACUUUUACAAAGCUGUAACAAAAAAAUGUUUCUAUCCGAUGCCAACACAUAUAUAGAUGUGUGAGUGCAUAAUGAUGUAAUUAAUAAAACUAAAUUAUAUAUUCUGCGUAUGAUUGUUUCUUUUUAAAAUAUUAAUAUGCGCGGUAAGUUGUAUACACUUCAAUCUUAAUUUUGUUUUCUUUUCCGAAUCUUAAAAUUAUUUAACAAGAUCUGAUUUCAACCUUAAGAUUAAUUUAACUAAUACAGUAUUAGUUUUUUUUUUUUUAGAACUCAUUUUAAACUAGAACUCAAAUCAUUUCAAUAAUAGUUCACUAACAUGUAGUAUUCUUUCCAAGUUAUACUGAACUAGAACUCAAAGAUACACUUGUUCAUACAUAACCGAUGCAAGCAUUUGGACAACGAAACAUGACAUCGUCAUAAGUAAUCUGAUUGGAAAUGUAAUUUUCAAUCAAACUUUCGCUCUUUGCUUAUGAUCUCUUUGGAAAAAAUUUCACUUGAUAAUAUGAGGUGCAUACUCUUCCUCUCUACUUUGGUUCAAUGCUCCUUAAACAUGUUGGAUACUUUUUUAGGCUUCAAUAUAAAAAAGAAGUUAGGAAAAAUUUAUUGAUAUUGUUAGUAAUAUUACUUCUAUGAUAUUGGUACUUCAAAAGAAGCAUGAGUUAUUAUAGAAACUAGGUUAAGAUCUCUGUUUUGCGCAUGAUGAAUUUUAUGUAUACAAAUGAUAUUUUUCUAUUUUUAUUAUUUAUUUUGUGUUUAUUUAUUUCAUAUUUAUAUAAUUAAAUUAGAGUAAACACAUAAAUCAAAACUAUACCUCCUUUUAUUUCUAAUUUUUUUCAUAAAUAAAUCAAUCGUUUUAUUUAUUUUAUAUGAAAUAUAAUUAAUUUGAAUGAUAAUGACAUAGAUAUCUAGUAAAAUUUAAUAUAACUUAUUAAUUGAGAUUUCCUACUCAUAUAAUCUUAUUAACAUUUGUAUAUAUUGCUGUAAAAAAAAUUAAACCAUUAAUUACAAAACUUUCAAUGUGAGAUUUAUUUCAAUACAAAAUUUUAAAUUGAAAUAUUAAGGUCUCAAUACUUUUAAAAUGUAAAUUUCAAAAUUAACGUAUUUAUGUAUUUUUAUAUGGUAUAUAGUUUAAUUUAAACGAUAUUAAGAUAUAUAUAUAUAUAUAUAUUUAAUAUGAAUAUCUAUUAAAUGAGACUUUAUAUUCAUACAAUUUUAUGAUCAUUUUGUAUCUUGUUAUAACAAAAAAAAGUAGUUAAACCAUUGAUUACAAAAUUUCAAUAUGGGCUUUUAACAUUUUUUAGUAAUUUAUAGUUUUUUAAAAUUCAUAAUAUAACAUAUAAGAAAGAGUCUAUAUUUUAAGUAUAUGGUUAAUGUGAUUGUAUAAUUUCUUUUAAUAAUAUAAAAUUAAAUAAAAUAGAUGGAGGUUACAAAAAUUGUUAUCAAAUCUUUAUUAUUCAUAAUCAUUAGUUUUCGUAUAUAUGUUAAUCAUAUUAGGUAAUUUCGUAACUUUUAUUUAGAGAAAUAAUGAAAAUAUUCUUUUGAACAUACAUUACUAAUCAAUUUGAUAGUUAGUUUAAUAAUAAGAUAUAAUAUAUGUUUCGAUAGACCAUCUAUUUUUUUAAGGAUCCUAAGCAUCAUUGUUGUAUUAAUACGUGGAUACAAAAAAAUGUUGCAAUGCUUUUCAAAUAUAUAAAUGAUUAUGUGGUUGAAAGAAAUUAGAAAAAUGCAAUGCAGUUAAGUAAUGAGGAACGAUUGAUUUUUGUUAUUAAAAGACGGAAGUCACGAACCACAUUAAUUAAAGUCAUCGAUUACUGACUGAUGACAACAUAUUUGACAAACAAUAAUAGAAGUUACAUAUAUUAACGCAUAAAGUUACAAAAUACAUAUACAUAUUUGACAAACAAUAAUAGAAGCGACGAAAUACAAACAAACACCUAAAACAAUUAAUUUUCAAAUACAGUCCAGGUUCUCCGAAAGUCGUUUGCUUUGAAAUGCUCUUUUUUAACUUAGUCAUAAACAUCUUCAUCUUUAUAACAUUAAUUAUUUCUUUUAUGAACUGGUUUGCCUUUUUUUCUUCAUGAUAUUGGGUUCAAUAGUUCCAACUUUUGCCUUUUGAAUUGUGUAAAUCUAUUUCACUAUUUGUUGACCAUUUGCAAUUCUUGCUUUUCUUUCAUCAUAUCAUUUUUUGUUGUAUACAUUUCCCUUGAAUGAUGACUAACUUAUACAAAAUUGGAAUCACUUGCAUCAUUUUCGUGGAUUCUUUUAAACCCACUUCUGCCUGACUACAAGAACAUAUUUAAUCACAGAUGAUGACGAGCCCCAUUCCAACAUGUUGAAAUGUAUAGUCUUGGCACUUGAACAUAGCUCAUGCGUUUUUUUUGUCAAUAUAUCAUUAUUCUCUGAUCAUCCAUUUUGUUACAUAGACUUUGCUAUUGUCAGUGCCAACCAUUAUUCCGAUAGUUUUUUCAUGUGGUGUAGUAAUUUUUCUAAACGAAGCAAUUACUGUUCUCUAACAAUUUUGAAAACCAACCAAUGCUAACGUCCAUAUAUAUUUUCCGCAGCCUGCACAACAGGAUUAUCAGAACGUAAAUCUCCUGAAUUUCUUUAAGUUCUAGUACCUUAUAAAAUUCUACUAACAAUUUGAUAUCUUUUUAGAUGGUGUAAAUGUAAUAACAUAAGUUGGCUAGAAACUAACCUCCCAAAAAUAGAGGUAUCAUGCAAAUGCUAUAAACACGAGUGGAACAAGUCUUAUGCCUAACAAUUGAACGCUAAUUUCCCAAAAUUAAAGUAACCUAGCUAAUACUUCCUUAAAAAUGGGUCAAACAUUCUAAAAAAUGAGAAGUUGGGAGAAAGUAUGGGCCUUCAACAUAUCUCUCCAUUUAACGCACUAUAUAAAGCAGCAGGUGCGUAGUAAAAAUCUCAGAAAACAAAAAUUAAAAGACAAUAAAAAAUAAAAAUAAAUAAAUAAAUAUGGGUUCAUAUUUGGGAAUCUAUACAAUUUUGGUUCUAUGUUUGCUAGGAUAUUCAGCCAAUGCUGAGGUGUUCACCGCUGGUGGUCCUCCAAAUUCUGAUAUUACCGCGGUUAGUAUCUUCACUUGUUUUUUAUUACUUGAAUUCCAAUCAAUGUGUAAACCAUUUCUUAUAUUAACAUACUCGUGGGAGCUAUUGUUGCAGGCAGUUCUUAAAGCAUUCACAUCGGCAUGUCAAGCUCCGGCACCAAGCCAGGUGCUGAUCCCAAAAGGUGACUUCAAGCUUGGUGAGACCGUGAUGACUGGUCCAUGCAAAUCUCCAAUCGAGUUCACCUUGCAAGGCAACGUGAAAGCUGACGGUGGCUCUACCCAGGGAAAGGAUAGAUGGGUUGUGUUCGAAAAAAUUAAUGGUUUUAAGUUGAACGGAGGUGGAACAUUUGACGGUGAAGGCAAUGCAGCUUGGAAAGCCAAUAACUGCCACAAGACUUUUGAGUGCAAGAAACUUCCCAUCGUAUGUGUUUAUGUCUUUAAUAUAUUAACACCAAUGGCUUUUUUAAAGAUGAUAUAAUUCAGUGAUGCAUGCUAUCUUUCAGAGCAACUGCCACAAGACUUUUGAGUGCAAGAAACUUCCCAUCGUAGGUGUUUCCGUCUUUAAUAUAUUAACACCAAUGGCUUUUUUUAAAGAUGAUAUAAUUCAGUGAUGCAUGCUAUCUUUCAGAGUGUAAGGUUUGAUUUUGUGGAUAACGCUGAGAUAAAAGACAUAACCUCAUUAGAUGCCAAAAACUUCCACUUCAACGUUAUCAGCGGCAAGAACAUGACCUUUGAUAACAUCAAGAUCAUCGCUCCAGCUGAAAGCCCCAACACUGACGGUAUCCAUUUGGGAAGAUGUGAGGGAGUCAAGAUCCUCAACACUAAGAUCGCCACAGGAGAUGACUGCAUCUCCGUGGGAGAUGGGAUGAAGAAUCUCCUCAUUGAGAAAGUUGUGUGCGGUCCAGGACACGGAAUCAGUGUUGGAAGCCUUGGAAGGUACGGAUGGGAGCAAGAUGUCACUGACAUUAACGUUAAGAACUGUACCCUUGAGGGAACCGACAACGGUCUGAGGAUCAAGACAUGGCCAUCUGCCGCUUGCACCACCACCGCUGCCGGUAUUCAUUUUGAGGAUAUCAUCCUUAACAAAGUUAGCAACCCAAUCCUCAUCGACCAGGAGUACUGCCCUUGGAACCAAUGCAACAAGAACGUAAGUAUCUUUUAUUAGAUUCUAUGUCUUGCCACUAUCACCGUAUUCUAUGAAAUUGGAUGGCUCAGCAAACAUAUUAUUCUGAUGGUUUUCUAGAUAUUUAGCAUUCACCAUUUUGGUUGAGGUUACAUAUAUAUGAUUAUGAUCCCAAAGUUUUUUUUCUAUUUGCAGAAACCAUCAACAAUUAAGCUGGUGGACAUUACCUUCAGGAAUAUUAGAGGAACAUCAGGGAACAAGGACGCAGUGAAACUAUUGUGCAGCAAGGGACAUCCAUGUGAGAACGUUGAGAUUGGAGACAUUAACAUUGAGUACACAGGACCUGACGGUCCACCCACUUUCGAGUGCACAAACGUCACACCUAAGCUUGUGGGAACCCAGAACCCAAAGGCUUGCGUUGGACCUGUGGUCAAGGCUCCUGGCAAAGAGUAAAAUGUUGAAGCUCAUAUCAACACAUUAGGGCUUCCACAUCCAAUUUUGUUUAUUCUUUUUCUAAUUCUUUUUCAAGUCACGUAAGGAGACUUUUACAAAGCUGUAACAAAAAAAUGUUUCUAUCGAUGCCAACACAUAAUGUGUGAGUGCAUUAUGAUUUAAUAAAACUAAAAAGAUUUAUCUAUC
rnacentral:lncRNA from 1 species